rnacentral:sRNA from 1 species
GGAGCUGAGCUGUCCAGGAGCAGGAGCUGGUACUGGUCACCUCAGUAUCCCCCAGACUGAGAGCAGUGCCAGGUGUCCUAUACUCAGCUGCAGAGAAGGUGGUUCCCCUGCCCUCCUGCUCAUGGGGCUGCCCUCAGACUCUGCUUUUGGCACCAGCAUUGCUGGGCAGGGGGAGAGAGGUGGGGUCCGGGCAGAGCUUCUCCACUGGGACAUUAAAGCCUCUCUUGUCUCCUCUCCUAGUUGAAAACACCACACACUGUGAGUUUGCCUACCUGCGGGACCUUCUCAUCAGGACGCACAUGCAGAACAUCAAGGACAUCACCAGCAGCAUCCACUUUGAGGCCUACCGUGUGAAGCGCCUCAAUGAGGGCAGCAGCGCCAUGGCCAACGGCGUGGAGGAGAAGGAGCCAGAAGCUCCGGAGAUGUAGACGCCGCCCUGCCCACCCCCGGGAUCCUGCCCCCAAGUCUUUUCUGUCCCCCCCAGGCCCUCCCACUGCCCCGUUUUAUUUUAUAUGAUUUUCUCCAUUUGUCAUCGUUCCCCACCCCUUCGACAUGCUGCCAGGAAACUAGGGAAGGGGCCUCCCUCCGAGUGA